UACAGAGGUGGCAAGCGUUGUUCGGAAUUACUGGGCGUAAAGGGCUCGUAGGCGGCCAACUAAGUCAGACGUGAAAUCCCUCGGCUUAACCGGGGAACUGCGUCUGAUACUGGAUGGCUUGAGAUUGGGAGAGGGAUGCGGAAUUCCUGGUGUAGCGGUGGAAUGCGCAGAUAUCAGGAGGAACACCGGUGGCGAAGGCGGGUCUCUGGGCAGUAACUGACGCUGAGGAGCGAAAGCGUGGGGAGCGAACAGG
rnacentral:rRNA from 1 species